UACGUAGGGUGCGAGCGUUGUCCGGAAUUACUGGGCGUAAAGAGCUUGUAGGCGGUUUGUCGCGUCUGCUGUGAAAAUCCGGGGCUCAACCCCGGACUUGCAGUGGGUACGGGCAGACUAGAGUGUGGUAGGGGAGACUGGAAUUCCUGGUGUAGCGGUGGAAUGACGCAGAUAUCAGGAGGGAACACCCGGUGGGCGAA
rnacentral:rRNA from 1 species